rnacentral:rRNA from 1 species
AGUGAACGCUGGCGGUAGGCCUAACACAUGCGAGUCGAACGGCAGCACAGUAAGAGCUUGCUCUUACGGGUGGCGAGUGGCGGACGGGUGAGGAAUACAUCGGAAUCUACUUUUUCGUGGGGGAUAACGUAGGGAAACUUACGCUAAUACCGCAUACGACCUACGGGUGAAAGCAGGGGAUCUUCGGACCUUGCGCGAUUGAAUGAGCCGAUGUCGGAUUAGCUAGUUGGCGGGGUAAAGGCCCACCAAGGCGACGAUCCGUAGCUGGUCUGAGAGGAUGAUCCGCCACACUGGAACUGAGACACGGUCCAGACUCCUACGGGAGGCAGCAGUGGGGAAUAUUGGACAAUGGGCGCAAGCCUGAUCCAGCCAUACCGCGUGGGUGAAGAAGGCCUUCGGGUUGUAAAGCCCUUUUGUUGGGAAAGAAAAGCAGCAGGUUAAUACCCCGCUGUUCUGACGGUACCCAAAGAAUAAGCACCGGCUAACUUCGUG